CAAAUUGCUGUUUGGGGUGGCC
rnacentral:miRNA from 11 species